AUACAAUCAUAGAAAAUUAGGGUUAGAAGGGACUUCAGGAGGCCAUUUAGUCCAAGUCUCUGCUCAAGAUAGGACCAUCCCCAACCCAAUCAUCCCAGCCACAGCUUU